ACCAAGAUAAGAAAAUAUAAGGGAAAAAUACUUUAAUUGUUCUAAAUUUUGUGUGUUGUUGUCCUCUGCAGCACCUCCCGGACGCUCGUUGCCACCGUCAACGACCGCUACACAACCAUAGUUUGCCAGCCCUGCAGCCAGCCUUAAACUUAAUCUCUAUCAGCCAGCAACGAUUUAGUCUACCGUGCAGGAUAAAUAAAAAAAAACAGCUCCAAAUAACAUAAAUGGCGGAUGCUAUAGUUUCAGAAGUGGUGGGGAGAAUUGCAACUAUGUUAGAAGAUAAGAUUCGGUAUGAAGUCAAUUUGGUUAGAGGCGUGAAGGACGAACUUCGUUAUCUUUCCGAGAAGCUCAACACUAUCCGACAGGUGUUGGAUGAUGCAGAAAAGAGAGGAGUGAAAGAUGAAAGUGUCAAAAGAUGGUUGAAGAAGCUCGAAGCUACGGCCUAUGAAAUGGAGGAUAUUUUGGAUGAAUGGAACUACUAUUCUCUUCUCAAAGAUAAGAUGUGAUGGAUCCGCGAAUUUCUGAUGUUAGUAAAUGCAGGAAAAUACAGAUCACGACACAGAGAAUUUACGUGGUUCGAUUUACUGAGUGUACAUGCUGAACAAGGCUACCCGAAAAUCUUCGG